rnacentral:rRNA from 1 species
GACAGAGGGUGCGAACGUUGUUCGGAAUUACUGGGCGUAAAGCGCAUGUAGGCGGCAGCGCAAGUCGGGCGUGAAAUCCCACGGCUCAACCGUGGAAGUGCACUCGAAACUGCGCAGCUAGAGUCCUGGAGAGGAAGGUGGAAUGCUUGGUGUAGAGGUGAAAUUCGUAGAUAUCAAGCGGAAACACCGGUGGCGAAGGCGGCCUUCUGGACAGU